UGGGGAAUUUUCCGCAAUGGGCGAAAGCCUGACGGAGCAAUGCCGCGUGGAGGUGGAAGGCCUACGGGUCGUCAACUUCUUUUCUCGGAGAAGAAACAAUGACGGCAUCUGAGGAAUAAGCAUCGGCUAACUCUGGGCCAG
rnacentral:rRNA from 1 species